GCAUGGUUGUCGUCAGCUCGUGUCGUGAGAUGUUGGGUUAAGUCCCGCAACGAGCGCAACCCUUGUCUUAUGUUGCCAGCACGUGAUGGUGGGGACUCAUGAGAGACUGCCGGGGUUAACUCGGAGGAAGGUGGGGAUGACGUCAAAUCAUCAUGCCCCUUAUGUCCAGGGCUUCACACAUGCUACAAUGGUCGGUACAACGCGUGUGCGACACUGUGAGGUGAAGCUAAUCGCUCUAAAGCCGGUCGUAGUUCGGAUUGGGGUCUGCAACUCGACCCCAUGAAGUCGGAGUCGCUAGUAAUCGCAGAUCAGCAACGCUGCGGUGAAUACGUUCCCGGGCCUU
rnacentral:rRNA from 1 species